UGCUUUGAAUGGUAAUGAUUU
rnacentral:siRNA from 1 species